rnacentral:rRNA from 1 species
AUUGAACGCUGGCGGCAUGCCUUACACAUGCAAGUCGAACGGUAACAGGUUAAGCUGACGAGUGGCGAACGGGUGAGUAAUAUAUCGGAACGUGCCCAGUCGUGGGGGAUAACGUAGCGAAAGCUACGCUAAUACCGCAUACGAUCUACGGAUGAAAGCGGGGGAUCGCAAGACCUCGCGCGAUUGGAGCGGCCGAUAUCGGAUUAGGUUGUUGGUGAGGUAAAAGCUCACCAAGCCUGCGAUCUGUAGCUGGUCUGAGAGGACGACCAGCCACACUGGAACUGAGACACGGUCCAGACUCCUACGGGAGGCAGCAGUGGGGAAUUUUGGACAAUGGACGCAAGUCUGAUCCAGAACUGCCGCGUGCAGGACGAAGGCCUUCGGGUUGUAAACUGCUUUUGUACGGAACGAAACGGUGAGCUCUAAUACAGUUUGCUAAUGACGGUACCGUAAGAAUAAGCACUGGCUAACUACGUGCCAGCCGCCGCCGUAA